AGUAAGGAAUAUUGGUCAAUGGACGCAAGUCUGAACCAGCCAUGCCGCGUGAAGGAUGAAGGCCCUCUGGGUUGUAAACUUCUUUUACAGGGGAAGAAAUCUCUUUUUUUCAAGAGAGUUGACGGUACCCUGGGAAUAAGCACCGGCUAACUCCGUGCCAGCAGCCGCGGUAAUACGGAGGGUGCAAGCGUUAUCCGGAUUCACUGGGUUUAAAGGGUGCGUAGGAGGGCAGGUAAGUCAGUGGUGAAAUCUCCGAGCUUAACUCGGAAACUGCCGUUGAUACUAUCUGUCUUGAAUACCGUGGAGGUGAGCGGAAUAUGUCAUGUAGCGGUGAAAUGCUUAGAUAUGACAUAGAACACCAAUUGCGAAGGCAGCUCACUACACGAGCAUUGACUCUGAGGCACGAAAGCGUGGGGAUCAAA
rnacentral:rRNA from 1 species